rnacentral:rRNA from 1 species
AGAGUUUGAUUCUGGCUCAGAAUGAACGCUGGCGGAGUGCUUAAGACAUGCAAGUCGUACGAGAAAGUCCCGCAAGGGAUGAGUAAAGUGGCGGACGGGUGAGUAAUAAUUAGGUAAUGUACCAUAUCGCUGGGGAUAACUAGACGAAAGUUUAGCUAAUACCGAAUGAUCCUGAGAGAACUGCGGUUUUCUUUGGUAAAGCCGUAAGGCGCGAUAUGCACAGCUUAAUCCUCAUUAACUAGUUGGUAGGGUAAUGGCCUACCAAGGUUUCGAUGAGUAGCUGGUCUGAGAGGACGAUCAGCCACACUGGUACUGAAACACGGACCAGACUCCUACGGGAGGCAGCAGUUAGGAAUUUUGCGCAAUGGACGAAAGUCUGACGCAGCAACUCCGCGUGAGUGAUGAAGGCCUUCGGGUUGUAAAGCUCUUUUAGUCGGGACGAAGAAAAUGACGGUACCGACAGAAACAGCACCGGCUAACCCUGUGCCAGCAGCCGCGGUAAUACAGGGGGUGCAAGCGUUAUUCGGAAUUAUUGGGCGUAAAGAGCGUGUAGGCGGCCAAGCAAGUCUGGUGUGAAAGCCCCGGGCUUAAUCCGGGAAGUGCAUUGAAUACUGCUAGGCUAGAGUAUAGGAGAGGAUGGCGGAAUUCCUGGUGUAGAGGUGAAAUUCGUAGAUAUCAGGAGGAACAACAGAGGCGAAGGCGGCCAUCUGGACUAUUACUGACGCUAAGGCGCGAAAGUGUGGGGAGCAAACAGGAUUAGAUACCCUGGUAGUCCACACCGUAAACUAUGGGUACUAGAUGUCAGAAGUUCUUACCCUUCUGGUGUCGCAGCUAACGCAUUAAGUACCCCGCCUGGGAAGUACGGUCGCAAGAUUAAAACUCAAAGAAAUUGACGGGGGCCCGCACAAGCGGUGGAGUAUGUGGUUCAAUUCGAUUCAACGCGAAAAACCUUACCUGGGCUUGACAUCCGACGCUAUCCUAUGAAAGUAGGAGUUCCCGCAAGGGACGUCGAGACAGGUGCUGCAUGGCUGUCGUCAGCUCGUGUCGUGAGAUGUUGGGUUAAGUCCCGCAACGAGCGCAACCCUUGUGGUUAGUUGCCAUCAUUAAGUUGGGCACUCUAAUCAGACCGCUUGCCGAUAAGGCAGAGGAAGGUGGGGAUGACGUCAAGUCAGCAUGGCCCUUACGCCCAGGGCCACACACGUACUACAAUGACCGGUACAAUGCGUCGCAAGCAUGCGAAUGCAAGCUAAUCGCAGAAAACCGGUCUCAGUUCGGAUUGGAGUCUGCAACUCGACUCCAUGAAGCUGGAAUCGCUAGUAAUCGUGGAUCAGCAUGCCACGGUGAAUACGUUCCCGGGCCUUGUACACACCGCCCGUCACGCCAUGGAAGUUGGUAUCGCCUGAAGCGGCCCGCAAGGGUUUCUUCGGCAAUGCCGAUGACUGGGGUGAAGUUGUAACAAGGUAGCAGUUGCGAAGCA